rnacentral:lncRNA from 1 species
GGGCCGGCUCAGAGGUCUGUGCUUUUUCUUACCUCUCUCUGGGAGGAAGCCAUAGGAUAAAAGUGUGUGUGUGGAGGGGUUGGCCCUGGGGUGUUGUUCAGGUUCAGUUCUUUGAUCAGGACAGAAAGAAACUAGAAACCACCUCUAGAAGGAGACUGCAGCACCCUAAAACCUGGAAAGGUGGGGAGGAGGAAAGCUACGGCAGCCGGGAGCAGAGGCAAGGAAAGAGCCAGAGAGAGAAAUACACCCUUCAAAGUCGUGC